UACGUAGGUGGCAAGCGUUGUCCGGAUUUAUUGGGCGUAAAGAGCGUGUAGGCGGCCAGGGAGGUCCGUUGUGAAAACUCGAGGCUCAACCUCGAGACGCCGAUGGAAACCCCCUGGCUAGAGUCCGGGAGAGGUGAGUGGAACUGCGAGUGUAGAGGUGAAAUUCGUAGAUAUUCGCAAGAACACCAGUGGCGAAGGCGGCUCACUGGCCCGGUACUGACGCUGAGGUGCGAAAGCGUGGGGAGCAAACAGG
rnacentral:rRNA from 1 species